CAAAAAAUCCUUUUAGAGAAUUUAGUUAAAAUCAUCAGUGCACUUGUGUUUAAUAUUGCAAAUGUCUGUGUGCCUUAAAUUUAUAUAUACACACUUUUUUUAUAAUACACAUAUAUAUAAUUAUUAUAUUUAAUUUAUAAUAAAAAUUGGAAAUAUCUGAACAUAUAUUAAGUGUGUUACUACAGUUUAUAACAAAAAUUAAUAUUUCAAUCAGAAUUUAACUCAAUAAAAAUAUGAUUAGUUGUGUAUAUUUAAAAUUUAAAAUUUUAACUAAUUUACAAGUAUGUUAUAUUUAAUGUAUUGAAAAAAAAAAAUGAUAUUUUAUAUUUUGAUUUAUUGAAAUAGUUAUAAUUACAAUAUUUGUAUAGCUUAAAUAAAAUACUUAAAUACAAUAUA